GUCCAAGCCGUUCCUGCCAGCACCUCACCCUCCCACCUCAGCGUCACACACCAGCCUACCUGAAUGCUGCAGGCAGCCCACCGCCAGCCUCCAUCUUUGUCUCUAGAAGGGCUUUAACGGCCUGUAACACCUACACAGCAUGAGGAGAGAUGUACAGUCUGACUCCUGCCCUAGGGGUGCAGCUGCACCAGGUGGUGAUGGUGGUGAGGUAAUCAGUGUGGCCUUGCCCAUAACAGCCCCACAUGUGGGAGCAGAGCCUGAGCUGCCGCCCCUCAGCAAAGAGCGCUCUGUGGGCAGGCAGCAGUGGAUUUUAUCCAGCUCUACUUCAGAAGAUCCUGCUGAGGGAAGGUCCAGUAUCAUCACAGAUGCCCAGCAUGGAAAAUAUUCAUGUUGUGAGGAUUUGGGAUGUACUCUUCCUCGGAUUGCACUGCAUCCUGCUGAAUUUAGGCUUUAGAACACUUUUUAGAUAAUAUGCUCCUGGUGAACGAAGGCUCCUGUCCAACAGAAAUUCUGCAUCAAAAGCAAGCCACUGUGCAGUUUGUACAUGUAAAAUGCAAUGCCUUCACCUUUGCCUUUCAGCCCUCUGAGGCUGAAAUGGACAGAUUAGAAUCAGUUGCUGUGCACUGUGGGGAUAAUCUUUAUCACAUUAACCUUUUUUUUUUUCAUAGAGCAGAGGAAGGCUGGUGUGUCAUGGGCUUCAGUAUAUUGUAAGCAAUAGAAUUGGCGCAGUAACGGGGAGCAGCUCAGCAAGAUUUUCAUGAAGUUUUAUGGUCUCCCUGAACCUAAAUAAUAUGUGGUGCUUAUGUGUACCAGUGACUUUAUUGAAACACCAGUUGUCCAAUGUUGAAAUUUUAUAAGAAUAGUAAGCUAAUUCAGUGAAGAAUAAUACUUAAUUUAAAGAUAACGUUAUUGGCUCUCAUUCAAGAUGGAUGAUUUAUGGAAAUGGAAGACUCUGUUGUUGUUGUUGUUUUCCUUCAUCUUAUAGUUCUUUGUGUUACAGCACAGACUGUGCAUCUUACCUGUACUGCUGCUGCUGUAGAAAGCUGUAGUUCUCUUGGCUCUCUGUAGAUUUGAGUAGUUUUAAGUCAUGCAGCAUUAACUGGUAAAAUCUGUGAUUUCUUUGCUCCCAUUUUUUUAGCUGUUUACAAUUAAUAAAUAAACCACUGAGGUUCA
rnacentral:lncRNA from 1 species